ACCUAAAGAACCCUUCAAUCCCAAUGGGUAUAUUUUGCAGCCUUGUAUGCAACUUGUGAGCAUUACCUCAUUGAACUCAUUCUUGGGUGAAAAGCACCCAAAGAGAAAGAGGAGCAAGAGAGGACAGAGAGAUAAAAAGUAGGAGUAAAACAUAUGGAUGUCCCAAUAAGAAUAAUUGGUCUGUUUUCAUCUUUGGCUUCAACUUAUCCAAAUUAAUGCAAUUCUGUUCAAGAAUUGGGUGGCAUGGUUGAAAGAAAGUCAGGACAAGAACUGUAUCUUUUACACUGUAAAAUGUACACAGUCUCACUCUGUUUCACAACAAUCAAAGAAGAACUUAAGGAACAGUGGUGAGCUUGAUGUGGAAAUGCUUUUGUCAUAUAUGAAAGGAAAGCUUCAGCCCUCAUUUAUCUAGGAUGAAAAAUGAAAACGUGAAAGCUGCGUGUUGUUUGAUUCUGAAAAAUGACCUGACCAGAUGUCAAAAUUAUUGAGAAGCAGCAUGACAGCCCUUGGAUGCCAACCCUUGAAAGUAAGACAAGCAAGACAAGGAGAUAUUGAAAUAUGUGGACUGGACUUGAACUCUGUGUUUGUAUUUUCUUUAAAAGGAAAACAAAAAUCUUUCUAAAAAUAUUGGCUUAAUCUUUUGCUUCCAACAGUCAGAAAUACCAGAUGAAGUUUGCCAAAUUAUGGGGAAAUUUCAGCUUUGAUGAUGUGUUAGUUUGGUUAUCUGUCAGGAAGCUUAUUUUGGAUAUAUCCCCCAAACAUGAUUUAUAAAAUCACAAAAUCACAGAAUAUGC